rnacentral:misc_RNA from 1 species
GAAAUGCGAUAAGUAAUGUGAAUUGCAGAAUUCAGUGAAUCAUCGAAUCUUUGAACGCACAUUGCGCCCGCCAGCACUCUGGCGGGCAUGCCUGUUCGAGCGUCAUUUCAACCCUCAGAACCCCGUGCGGGAUCUGGCGUUGGGGAUUGGCAUCCAGCCAGCCCCGAAAUCUAGCGGCGGUCCCUCCGCGACCUCCCCUGUGCAGUAGCGAUACCUCGCAGCGGGACAGCGGUCUGACCACGCCGUAAAACCCCCAACUUCUCAAGGUUGACCUCGAAUCAGGUAGGAAUACCCGCUGAACUUAAGC